rnacentral:rRNA from 1 species
AUCAUUCACAAUGGGGGAAACCCUGAUGGUGCGACGCCGCGUGGGGGAAUGAAGGUCUUCGGAUUGUAAACCUCUGUCCUUGGUGACGAUAAUGACGGUAGCCAAGGAGGAAGCUCCGGCUAACUACGUGCCAGCAGCCGCGGUAAUACGUAGGGAGCGAGCGUUGUCCGGAUUUACUGGGUGUAAAGGGUGCGUAGGCGGCCAUGCAAGUCAGGUGUGAAAACCCGGGGCUUAACCCCGGGACUGCAUUUGAAACUGUGUGGCUUGAGUGAAGUAGAGGCAGGCGGAAUUCCCGGUGUAGCGGUGAAAUGCGUAGAGAUCGGGAGGAACACCAGUGGCGAAGGCGGCCUGCUGGGCUUUAACUGACGCUGAGGCACGAAAGCAUGGGUAGCAAACAG